rnacentral:rRNA from 1 species
UUUCCGGUUGAUCCUGCCAGAGGCCAUUGCUAUCGGAGUCCGAUUUAGCCAUGCUAGUUGCGCGAGUUUAGACUCGCAGCGGAAAGCUCAGUAACACGUGGUCAAGCUACCCUGUGGAUGGGAAUAAUCUCGGGAAACUGAGGCUAAUACCCAACAACACUCCAUGUCUGGAAUGAUUGGAGUCGGAAGCGCUUCGGCGCCACAGGAUGCGGCUGCGGUCGAUUAGGUAGACGGUGGGGUAACGGCCCACCGUGCCUAUAAUCGGUACGGGUUGUGAGAGCAAGAGCCCGGAGACGGAAUCUGAGACAAGAUUCCGGGCCCUACGGGGCGCAGCAGGCGCGAAACCUUUACACUGUACGAAAGUGCGAUAGGGGGACUCCGAGUGCGAGGGCAUAGAGCCCUCGCUUUUGUACACCGUAAGGUGGUGUACGAAUAAGAGCUGGGCAAGACUGGUGCCAGCCGCCGCGGUAAUACCGGCAGCUCGAGUGAUGGCCGAUCUUAUUGGGCCUAAAGCGUCCGUAGCUGGCCAGGCAAGUCCGUUGGGAAAUCUGCUCGCUUAACGAGCAGGCGUCCAGUGGAAACUGCUUGGCUUGGGACCGGAGGACCUGAGGGGUACGUCCGGGGUAGGAGUGAAAUCCUGUAAUCCUGGACGGACCACCGGUGGCGAAAGCGCCUCAGGAAGACGGAUCCGACAGUGAGGGACGAAAGCUAGGGUCUCGAACCGGAUUAGAUACCCGGGUAGUCCUAGCUGUAAACGAUGCUCGCUAGGUGUGGCGCAGGCUACGAGCCUGCGCUGUGCCGUAGGGAAGCCGAGAAGCGAGCCGCCUGGGAAGUACGUCUGCAAGGAUGAAACUUAAAGGAAUUGGCGGGGGAGCACUACAACCGGAGGAGCCUGCGGUUUAAUUGGAUUCAACGCCGGA